UCCCUGGUGACAAUAGCUGCGUGGAACCACCCGAUCCCAUCCCGAACUCGGAAGUGAAACGCGCACGCGCCGAUGGUAGUGUGCACUUAGCAUGCGAGAGUAGGUCAUUGCCAGGGUCUUUA
rnacentral:rRNA from 1 species